UAUCGAUAAUUUCAUGUACCUCUAGAGUCCUUCCGUUUUCGUCUUUAUCAUCAUUAGAUAAUCCAGCAUGUCCCUUCAAUGGAUUUCAUAAAGUAGCCAAUCGCAGAUCUAAGACUUUGGGAGCAUCUUCAAGAAUCUGCUGAAAAAAUUAUGUUUUUUUGGAGUUUCAGAAAGAAUCACCAAUGUUUAUUGCAUUCUACUUGAUGCUAGAAAGAUUGAAAUUUAAUGGAACAUGUAAUGAAAGUAGAGAAUAUAAAUGAACAUUACUACAUGAGGAAACAAAUUUAUGAUUCUAAGCUAAAUCAAUAUGACCAAAAAAAUGCUAGUCUUCAAGAGAAGAAUAGAUGAAAGCAAUCAGAUGAUGUCGCCAUAUGCAACAAAAAUAGGACCUGACCACAUCUUAAAUCAAAUCGAGCAAAGAUUUACAUUACCUCAACCGUAACCAGGAAGGCUGGAAGAAAAGUGUUCCCAAACUCAAUCUGUUGUUGAUCUCGUCAUCAACUUUUCUUCUUAUCUUUCUACCGACAGUAUGAUGAAUUUCCUUCUCAAGUGAAGCUUUUUGCUUGCUCCUCUCUUGAAAUUAUUAUCAUACAACUGCGCAUCCACGAUCUGUCUGUUUUACUCUUUUAUUUCUUAAACAACACACAUCGUUAGACAAACUCUCCUACAAAAUACUAAUAAUAAUAAUAAUGUCAAAGCUCUCGUCUUUAAACGUUCUAUAGGCUAAUAGGAUUCAAAGGCAAGACCUUUUCUCAGUUCCAUUAACUGUAAACACACUAACAGAAAAAUCCCAGAAAAAAUAUAUUGAAUUCAGACAGUACCUGUUUUUAAGAUGUAGGACCCUCGAGUGUAGUUGUCACGGUGUCGACAGAACUGGGAAAAAUCCAAUGCUAGAAAGAUCAAGACACAAGGAUAGAUGAGAGAGAAGCAAAUCGGAAAAGUCUAGUAAGAACGUACACGUUACUGUGUCUCCUUCUCCAAGCUUCUAAAACGACGACGGAGAAGACGAUCAGCACCAGCGUGAGGCCGAGUUCUACGACUGUAAAUCGGAAACAGAGAGACUGAGUGGUGAGAGAUUGAGUGGUGAAGUAUAAUAAUAAACUAAUACCUGACUUUCAAAUGUAGAGAACAACAAAUUGUCAUUGUGUUAUGAAUCUGGAGUCGAGGGUUCAUAUUUUAGAUAACUCAGGCUGGAAUGACAAUAGUUAACGGACCUGUCUUAUCAUAUCAUCAAGGGGUUUAUAUAACAGGAAAAACAAAGGAAGGUGGAACGAUAAUCUCUAAUGAAGAUAGGAGAAAAUAUCAGAAUUGAAUGAGCAAGAUUGGGGUGUAAUAAUUACAGAGAGAUUGCAGAGAUUAGAAUAGUGAAUUGGAAGAGUCGGAGUUGAAGGCGACGAACAUUCUGCGUAGAAUAAGAUAUGGGCUGUUCUAUAUAGGCCUAUUUUUUUUUUGUUCAGCCCAGAUUUACUGGACCUUUUAAAUUUUUUGUCGACAAAAUAAAAGUGACGUGGCAAAACAGAGCUUCAUGAUUGGCCUGAAUAAAAAAUCCUACGUGGCACGCUCGUUGCUCUUCUUAUUCGGCUUUUAGUAGUGUUAGAU
rnacentral:lncRNA from 1 species